UACGUAGGGGGCAAGCGUUGUCCGGAAUCAUUGGGCGUAAAGCGCGUGUAGGCGGUUCGGUAAGUCGGCUGUGAAAGUCCAGGGCUCAACCCUCGGAUGCCGGUGGAUACUGUCGGGCUUGAGUACGGAAGAGGCGAGUGGAAUUCCUGGUGUAGCGGUGAAAUGCGCAGAUAUCAGGAGGAACACCAAUUGCGAAGGCAGCUCGCUGGGACGUUACUGACGCUGAGACGCGAAAGCGUGGGGAGCGAACAGG
rnacentral:rRNA from 1 species